AGCGAACGCUGGCGGCAGGCCUAACACAUGCAAGUCGAACGAAGUCUUCGGACUUAGUGGCGGACGGGUGAGUAACACGUGGGAACGUGCCUUUAGGUUCGGAAUAACUCAGGGAAACUUGGGCUAAUACCGAAUGUGCCCUUCGGGGGAAAGAUUUAUCGCCUUUAGAGCGGCCCGCGUCUGAUUAGCUAGUUGGUGAGGUAAAGGCUCACCAAGGCGACGGUCAGUAGCUGGUCUGAGAGGAUGAUCAGCCACAUUGGGACUGAGACACGGCCCAAACGCCUACGGGAGGCAGCAGUGGGGAAUCUUGCGCAAUGGGCGAAAGCCUGACGCAGCCAUGCCGCGUGAAUGAUGAAGGUCUUAGGAUUGUAAAAUUCUUUCACCGGGGACGAUAAUGACGGUACCCGGAGAAGAAGCCCCGGCUAACUUCGUGCCAGCCGCCGCGGUAAUAC
rnacentral:rRNA from 1 species